rnacentral:rRNA from 1 species
CUACGUGCCAGCAGCCGCGGUAAUACGUAGGGUGCAAGCGUUAAUCGGAAUUACUGGGCGUAAAGAGUGCGUAGGCGGUUUUGCAAGACCGAUGUGAAAUCCCCGGGCUUAACCUGGGAACUGCAUUGGUGACUGCAAGGCUAGAGUGUGUCAGAGGGAGGUGGAAUUCCGCAUGUAGCAGUGAAAUGCGUAGAUAUGCGGAGGAACACCGAUGGCGAAGGCAGCCUCCUGGGAUAACACUGACGCUCAUGCACGAAAGCGUGGGGAGCAAACAGGAUUAGAUACCCUGGUAGUCCACGCCCUAAACGAUGUCAAUUAGCUGUUGGGCAACUUGAUUGCUUAGUAGCGUAGCUAACGCGUGAAAUUGACCGCCUGGGGAGUACGGUCGCAAGAUUAAAACUCAAAGGAAUUGACGGGGACCCGCACAAGCGGUGGAUGAUGUGGAUUAAUUCGAUGCAACGCGAAGAACCUUACCUGGUCUUGACAU